rnacentral:rRNA from 1 species
UACGAAGGGGGCUAGCGUUGUUCGGAAUUACUGGGCGUAAAGCGCACGCAGGCGGCUCGAUAAAUUAGAAGUGAAAGCCCCGGGCUCAACCUGGGAAUAGCGUUUGAUACUCUAUGGCUUGAGUUCGGGAGAGGUGAGUGGAAUUCCCAGUGUAGAGGUGAAAUUCGUAGAUAUUGGGAAGAACACCGGUGGCGAAGGCGGCUCACUGGACCGAUACUGACGCUGAGACACGAAAGCGUGGGUAGCAAACAGG